UUUCCGGAAAAACAAUAAGAGAUAUGUAUUGUAUAUGAAUGUAAGUGUAUUGUUUAAGUUGUUUAACAGUUGUUUAACGUUUCUUUGUGUGAAUAUGCUUGCUAGCUCGUUGUAAAAAGCUCCAAGCAAUCUUCCACUCACUUCUAGCGAUAACUAUUAGCUAACAUUCGCUAUUCUAUUUGAUGUAUCUGUUAGUCACUUGAUUUAGUUUUGCAAUUAGGUUGUGGCUACAGUGUCUGUGGUCAAUAAAAUGAUUAUAAAGUUUAAAGUCUUCAGAGUCAUCAUUUCAGGUUAACACUUUUUUUUUUUUUUUUUUUAAGUUUACACAAGGUCAGUAAGUAGUCUUAUUAAUGCAUAUAAAGCUUAUACUUAUACAAUAUACGCUGAGGCAGUCAUGUGUUUCUGUGGUUGAUAGCCUAUAAAAAACAAACACUUAAAAUUAAAGUUAAUUAUAUCACAAGCACUGUCUAGCCUACGUAUUCUCUCUGCUUGUCUGUUGAUAGUGCAGUGGUUAUGUCAUUUUAAUAUUAUAUAAUAUAUAUAAUAUUAUAUAGCUUUUAUGACGAAGGUUUACAUUAUGCACGUGGAAUUUGGCAUGCGAGAGAUUAAAUAAAAUAGGCUGUUGAUCGCGUGCCUGCUCUUCUGCGUUAUUCAUAUUGAAGAGCAUCAAUUAUUAAACAAGACUUGUAGCACAAGAAGGAUCUAGCCUUAAGAAACUAUUUGAGGUGAAAAAGGUGAGGUGAAAAAAUACCGUAGUAAUUUAUAGUAAGUACUAUAGUGUUUUUGAACCAUACUUGAAUUAAUUUGUUGUGGUAAUUCUAUAGGCUAUUGCUGUGGUAAUAUAACAACUAUAGUAAUAUAAACAAAUUACGUUACCCAAUACUGUACUAUGUUUUCUUUAAACUAUAUUAUACUACAAUACACGCAGUUAACUGUAGUACAAACUAAAGUACUACAGCCUAUGCUGUAGCAAUAAUUAACAAAGUGUUGUAAAUACUAUAAUAUACAGUAUAUUUACUGGUUCAAAAACACUAUUUACUAUCAAUAUAGUAUUUUUACACCCCAUGUCCAACCAAAUGACGCCGAUUGGAUAAGUUCAGACAAAUGACUAUUUGUCUAUGUAAAAUAUAUAGCCAUUGUGACAAAAUUACAUCCCGUGUCAUUAUAAUUCGUAGGCUAGUUUAUGCAAAAUAAUAAUAAUAAUAAAAUAAAUAAAUAACUAGCACUAAAAAAACUGAGUAGGCUAAUAAAACUUGCAUAAAUCAUAUAUUUCGCCCUCUCGAGCUAUAAGCUACAGGUCCUGUAAAAAUAGUUCAUACUCUUCAAAAUAAAUAAAUGCAUUAUAGUAAAAUAUAUCUAGGCAGGCACUCGGGAAAAACGCAUAGUUUCCCUGUUACGGAAGUCAAGCAUGCAGCAAUAUUUUAUUUAUUUUUCAUUAUCUCGACAUAAUUGUUUCUCGGGAUCUAAACAUUAAAAAAGUAGUUGUAAUCAUAAGAAAACAAGAAAAAAAUAAAAUAAUAAUGAAUGGCCUUUCGUACUUUAAAAAAAACGCAUAUCCCGGCUUCCGUACUUUUUUGGUUGGAUCGUUAUAAACACCUCUCUCAGUUAGAAAACACCCCAAAAUUGGGAGACGCCCCUCUUUUGUUCCGCAGAGACCUAUACUUGAUAAUUUGACCGCGGACCCAGAGCCAUAGAGAGAGAGAGUUGCGACAACUCCAUAGACUCCAAUGGAACGGUUUUUUACAGCAAUGGCGGCUCGUGGAGCCUCUCAAUAGUUCCCGGAAGUAGCAGCCGCGCCGUAGAGUUACAGCAGAACAGACCGUUUGUGAUGUACUUUUAAAAGCACAAAGGGGAUUCAGAUCCUGAAGACUCCAUGCAAUGAUGCGGUCACCGCCAGUCUCUGCUCCUUGGAUUUUGCAAGCUUUUCCUUGCUCCUUAUUUUUAAUAAACCUUUAAUAAACAUAAAA